rfam:Betaproteobacteria bacterium RBG_16_56_24 RBG_16_scaffold_3642, whole genome shotgun sequence.
GUAGCGCCCUCUCGCGAGAGGGGGCGAGGAUUGAAAC